GCUUAGUAAAUAAGAAGAGGGAAGAGUUUACUAAGUGAGAAGAUAUAAGAGCUUAGUAAAUAAGAAGAGGUAAGAGUUUACUAAGUGAGAAGAGAAUAAGAGUUUAGUAAGUGAAAAGAGGUAAGAGUUUAUUGAGAAGAGGUAAGAGUUUAUUGAGAAGAGGUAAGAGUUUGGUUAGUGAGAAGAGAAUAAGAGUUUAGUAAGUGAAAAGAGGUAAGAGUUUAGUAAGUGAGAAGAGAUAAGUAAGUGAAAAGAGGUAAGAGCUUAGUUAGUGAAAAGAGUUAAGAGAUUAGUGAGAAGAGGUAAGAGUUUAGUAAGUGAGAAUACGGUAAGAGUUUAGUAAGUGAGAAUACGGUAAGAGUUUAGUAAGUGAGAAGAGGUAAGAAUAUAUUUAGUAAGUGAGAAAAGAGUUUAGUGAGUGAGAAGAGA